AAUCUGUUUUCUAAAUGGGAAGCAUUUUCUUGAUGAAUCUAAGCCCAGUCAAGGGUACGCUAUGGCACGAAUUCAAACAUUUAGGGAUUGUUUGCCUAUAGGGAUUUACUUAGAUGCCAUCUUCCUUUUUUAAUCAAAUUCUUGGCUUCUGAGACAUUUCAUGGUUCUUAGCAACUCUGGCAGAAGGUAAGCAAGAGUUACAGGGGAGGACACUCGGGCCAUUUUUACCUCCUCACUCACUAGCAGGCAUGGGAAAUGCCUAGGUGGGUGGUACAAGGGACUGAAAUUGUGAGGCUCAAGAAUUCUCUAUAGGUUUUCAUUAGUCCCACCUUGGCUUGCUCUUUCAUGAAUAAUCGAGAGUUGACUCUAAAUGCGAAACUCGUGUUAAUUAUCUUAAUGACUAAUAAAGAAGUUAUGUCCUCAAAUCUUCAAUGGAGACUAGAAGACAACUGUGUGAAGGCACAGCAGGCUCUGCUUGCAGAUUUCCAAGCAUUCAGAUAGAAGCAAAAUGAAACACAUGUACUCUAUGAGCAUACGGCUUAUUGCAAGAAACAGAACCUAUGAGAAACCAGAGGAGAUUUCUAUCAUGGAAAGCAGUGAAUUCCCCCAGAAUUAGGCCACAAUUCAUGGUCUGAAUUAUAAGAGCUGCUUGGGUCUGUCCAAGUCCAAUGUAUGGAUUACCUUGAUCCCCACUGCAACCCAGAAGCUUUCAGUUACCAGGAGCAGGACAACUGUGCUCGGAGAACAGCUUACCUGGUGCUGCUGUCAAAGAGAGAACUCAGGGCCUGACAGUUGUUCCACUGAUUCUCAAGAUUGGCUUCUGAUAAAGUGUUUACUCCC